rnacentral:lncRNA from 1 species
CCCUUUUCUUUUGUCCUUCGAAUUGAAUAAUGAGAGUUUAUUUGAUACGUUAUACUAAAAUGAAUAUAUGCGUUUUUUGAGUGAGGGCAUGACACAAAGUGAUAAAAUGUGUAUACCAUUGGAAGCAUGUUGUUGAAGCUUUUUCUUCUUUUUCACUAUUUAAUUAAAGGAAACACACGAGAUGCUACUAUAUAUUUACAAAAAAAUAAAAAGACUACUAGGAGCAAAUGCAGUGAAAAUAGAUCAUUUACUUCUUCCUCAAGAGAAAAAUAGUCCAGAUCACUACCUAAGGUCACUAAAUGAUCGUACAAAUAUAAGAGGUAAAAGUGCGAAGAUUUGGCCAUGCAAUAUCUCAAAAUAUAGUUAAUGUUGCAGCCUGAAGUAGCUAGCAACUGGCAAGCAGGACUGGUUGCUCUCGUUUCAUGUUACGAUAUCUUAUACUUCGCAUUCAUGAUAUCUACUUCACUCAAUGGCGACCGUCUCUCUCAGAGCCCUUUUGACAUUGCCAACAGUGCAAUCAUCAAGAAUAGAGGAAACAAACACAUAUGCCUUGGCAAGGUCUACCACUUUAAUAAAUAGUGUACAAAAAAAUUCGAAUGCAAAUUGUCUGGCCAUAUCAAAACGACAUAUUCUCUGAAAAAUAAGAAGGAAAAUUGGCGAGCAUCUUCUCCAACUUAAAGAUGUUCAUUUCGGUGUUCAUUCGAGUGAUUGUGAUGGCUGUUAAUCUAUUGAGCAGAAUAAAUGAAGAAAAUCCAUCUCUAGAGCUAUCACGAG